rfam:Actinobacteria bacterium OV320 ctg37, whole genome shotgun sequence.
AAGAUGUAUGCUCAUGCUCGCUGUCGCCGCAGGGGAAUCCGGUGCGAAUCCGGAACUGUCCCGCAACGGUGUACUUGCGUGCAUGCAUACCCGUAUGCGCACGCCUGUUCAGUCCGAGGUCCUGCCGACAGCGUGCCCGGCCG